UCCUGGUUGCCCAGGCAGUUUCUCUAGACACUGUAACUAGAGAUGAGGGUUGCGCUCGUUUCUAGACUUAACUAGAUACCUUGCGGCACGAGCUGACGACGACCAUGCACCACCUGUGUAUCCCGCGUAUUGCUACGCUAACCAGCUUUCACUGAUGACAAAAUACAUGUCAAACUUAGGUAAGGUUCUUGGCUUAUUAUCCAAUUAAUCUAGAUCAUCCACUGCUUGUGUGUUCCCCCGCCUAUUCCUUUGAGUUUCGGUCUUGCGACUAUACUACCCAGGCGACUCGCUUAACCCGUUAGGUUACAGUACCCAGCCCGAAGGCUCAGACACUUAGCGAGCAUAGUUUACAGCUUGGACUAC
rnacentral:misc_RNA from 1 species